UGUAUUUAAUCUACAUUAUUCGACUGUAUUCAUGGCGUGAAAAAGGGGAUUACACUGUUUUUAAACGGAAAAUGUACCAAUUAACAUAAUAGACUCCU
rnacentral:pre_miRNA from 1 species